GGAUACGUACGCUCUGUCUACAGUCAAGACUUUGGAGGAUGCUGUGAAGCAGAUAAUACAGUUUAUGGGUAUGCAGCCGUGUGAGCGAUCAGAUAAGAUUCCUGAGGGGAAGAGUUCCCACACCCUGUACCUGGCGGGGGUAUAUAGAGGGGGACACGACGCACUGGUUCGGGCCAAACUGGCUCUGUCCAAUAACGGGGUCACCAUGCAGUUAACCGUCAGAUCAACUGAUCCCGACGCUUCAGAAGUCCUGGCUACAGCCAUUGGCUAAUUGUGUUUUACCUAAAAACUAUAAUAUAAUGAAAAUUUUUGGAGAUGUUUUUUUGUGUUUUACCUAAAAACAAUAACUUAAUGAAAAUCUUUGGAAGUGUUUAUUAAUGAAUUGUGAUAGUGUUAAAAAUGGAAGAAACAUUUAAGAUGGAAAGAAUACAAAAUAUAUUUGUCUUUAGAUAUUCUUAAUUCUUUUUGUUGUUGGGAUUAUAUGUAUAUAAAUAAAAGUAUCAUGCCUGUG